GAUGAACGCUGGCGGCGUGCCUAAUACAUGCAAGUCGAGCGAACGGACGAGAAGCUUGCUUCUCUGAUGUUAGCGGCGGACGGGUGAGUAACACGUGGAUAACCUACCUAUAAGACUGGGAUAACUUCGGGAAACCGGAGCUAAUACCGGAUGAUAUUUUGAACCGCAUGGUUCAAAAGUGAAAGACGGUCUUGCUGUCACUUAUAGAUGGAUCCGCGCGGCAUUAGCUAGUUGGUAAGGUAACGGCUUACCAAGGCAACGAUGCAUAGCCGACCUGAGAGGGUGAUAGGCCACACGGGAACUGGGACACGGUCCAGACUCCUACGGGAGGCAGCAGUAGGGAAUCUUCCGCAAUGGGCGAAAGCCUGACGGAGCAACGCCGCGUGAGUGAUGAAGGUCUUCGGAUCGUAAAACUCUGUUAUUAGGGAAGAACAUAUGUGUAAGUAACUGUGCACAUCUUGACGGUACCUAAUCAGAAAGCCACGGCUAACUACGUG
rnacentral:rRNA from 1 species